GAUGUGAUUUGGAAUAUGCUGUGAACCCGACUCUGCGAUGUUCAGGACACUGUUCAUCACUCCAAGCACCAAAGGUGGCCUUGACAUAAGGAUGGAAACUUGAAGGUAGAUGGAUCCGUUUGGGUGCAUCAUACAGCAGCUCUUCUCUGAUAACACUGGCACCUCUAGAAACUAGCAUGAUGGUGAGAAGAUUCUUCUUGCUCUCAGUUCACCUGGGGAGAGAAAUUCAAAAUAUGCCCUAAAGGUUGAUGGAUUGUUCCUGCUGUGUCUUUGGCAAUGCUUAGUCCACAAAGAGCAAACAAGUUUGAGAGUGGGUGCAGCCUGGAAGCGUGAUCCAAAUGGCAGGAGUCCAUUUUGCAGAAUGCAGAGAACCGUUGCUUCCAAUAAAACUUCAUUCUUUUAUGGCAGCUGAGCCACAGAAGCACACUUCGUCUUCAGAAGAAGUCAGAUAAAGGUGUUGCUGCCUCGUGUACAGUAACUUCUCAGCACUGCUGAUCUGGCUGAAAGCGAUGUUAAAUGAAAAAGCAGUAUGAUGUGCUGCAGUCAGUCUGUGGAGCCUUUUAAGGUUGUAAAGGUUAAUAUUUAACCUUCACCUAACUUUUCAAGUAAAUAUACAAAUAAAACUCACUUAUUUUACCUGACAUGGGUUAUAAUGUAUUUAGCCUUAAUUAUGACAAAGUCUUCCACAGUGUUGGAAUGGCUCUUUCAGCAAGUUCCUCAGGCAGGCUUUGGCUUCCUUCCAAGCCCAGAGCCACAGCUUUAUGGCUCCUAGGAUUCCUCUGGCUUCACACAAGUUGCACAAGGAAAGAAAGGGACACAGACGCAGCCCAAAGGCUGUCACUGUACCAUCACUAGAUCUGACUGUAUUUUGGACUGUGAAUGCUAUGAACUGGGAAAUGAAUUUAUCAGCACACUAAGAAGUGCAUGCAAGCAUUGGGAUGACAAGUGGUGUAAGUGAGAAGCAAUGCCUCUUUUUCGUGUGAGGACAACAGUGAUAGCAAGGAGCUUCACUGCACUGUAUUUUCUACUUCUGGGUAUCUGCAGGUAGAUUCUCACAGUAAGCAGCUGUGGAUCAGUUUGUGCCAGAGCACUACCUGCUGGCCUAAUCAGUGAGAAUAAAGAGGGAAAAUGUGAAUUUCCCUGUGAAAAAAUAAAAUUAUAAUUAGUUGUUCUAGAAGAUUUAUCCCUCCAGCUGUUCAAUAAUGUAGUACAGAUUAAAGAUUUAUUGAUAUUCUUGUUUAGGAAUGAGAUUCAUAGUCCUCUGUGUUUAAGCCUGAUUUCUUCUAGAUGUUAUAAAUCCGGUAAAAGUGCAGACCUGUACAGGAUCCCAGCACUGUCUCUGAGCUCCCCCCUGUGACAAGCCUGAUAAGGAUGGAGCCUUAGGCACAGGAUAGGGUCUUGAUUAAGAUCACACACAAAGGCUAAGAUCAGAGAUUUGGGCCACAGUUUUCAAAAGUGGUGCAACUUCCCUUGAGAUCUACUCUUCUUGUAUCGUUUGAGUGCCCGCAACUAUAGACAUUAUUAGAAUUCCUGAUACCAAUAUUAAAGAGUAGUGAAUAUCUCAGAAUAUCCAACAGUAUACACUAUUAUUAUCACCCUGCAUGCCACAUGAGGGAAAUGCCUAAGCUAAACCUUGUGCGUACAUAUAAAUUUACCCUUAUUUUUAGGAAUGAAGUAUAUGCAUUGGAAUGAUGGCACUGCUUUGCAAGCAGUCGGUGUUCCCAUACAUAUUCUAUUUAUUUUCCUGCAUAUAAUUGAAAAUUACAGCCUAAGUGUGAUUCCAGUGCUGCACGCAUGCUCUGGGAAAACUAUUAUGCAUUAGUAGGAAUGUGUGAAUUCCAGGAUUCCAAAGCAAAAACCCCAAGGCAUAACGAAGACAAUCAACAAGCCUUCCCUUGUUUGACACACACUGGUAGGAAGUUCUUAUUCUAAAAACCUCCAGAAAGACUGCACUUAUCAUUUUAGGGCAAUAAUACCUCAAGAGGACAUUGAGGGUAAUGCAUUUGAUAUAGCUCAAUGCUACAGCUGUAUCUUAAGCUGUUUUCAUUUAUCACUGCUAUCAUGGUUGAUAGUUUGCGUACUCUGCAGCAUUUCCUGUUCAUAAUGGUGUAAUUGUUAACUAAGAUUUUGAUUCAACUAUCUUUAAAAACAUGGAUAAAAGAUGCAAAAUGGCAAAUCACAAAUAAUUGCAAUUAUUUGCACCAGCAAGUACAAAAGCAUCCGUAGCCUAAAUAUACCAAUAUCUUGCAGCAACACACUUACCAUUUUCUGAAACAAAACAGACAAAAAUAUAUUUCAAUCAGAUCCUAAAUUUUGUGUUAGAUAAGGUAUCAAUAGGCUACAGGCAGUUCCCAACAGUUACAGGGCAACAGCACCAUCUUCAGGUCACUAGAGAAUUAAACGAAGAGAAGCUGCAGGUAUUGUUCUGAAGAUAUCUUACU